GACGGAGGAUGCAAGAGUUAUCCGGAAUGAUAGGGCGUAAAGCGUCCGCAGGUGGCAGUUCAAGUCUGCUGUCAAAGACUGGGGCUUAACCCUGGAAAGGCGGUGGAAACUGAAGCGCUAGAGUGCGGUAGGGGUAGAGGGAAUUCCCGGUGUAGCGGUGAAAUGCGUAGAGAUCGGGAAGAACAUCGGUGGCGAAAGCGCUCUACUGGACCGCAACUGACACUCAGGGACGAAAGCUAGGGGAGCGAAUGGG
rnacentral:rRNA from 1 species